AACGCACAUUGCGCCCCCUGGUAUUCCGGGGGGCAUGCCUGUUCGAGCGUCAUUAACAACCCUCAAGCUCUGCUUGGUAUUGGGCCCCGCCGACCCGGCGAGCCCUAAAAUCAGUGGCGGUGCCAUCCGGUUCCGAGCGUAGUAAUUCUUCUCGCUUUGGAGGCCGGGUGUGUGCUUGCCAGCAACCCCCAAUUUUUUUAAGUUUGACCUCGGAUCAGGUAGGGAUACCCGCUGAACUUAA
rnacentral:misc_RNA from 2 species